AGUGAACGCUGGCGGUAGGCCUAACACAUGCGAGUCGAACGGCAGCACAGUAAGAGCUUGCUCUUACGGGUGGCGAGUGGCGGACGGGUGAGGAAUACAUCGGAAUCUACUUUUUCGUGGGGGAUAACGUAGGGAAACUUACGCUAAUACCGCAUACGACCUACGGGUGAAAGCAGGGGAUCUUCGGACCUUGCGCGAUUGAAUGAGCCGAUGUCGGAUUAGCUAGUUGGCGGGGUAAAGGCCCACCAAGGCGACGAUCCGUAGCUGGUCUGAGAGGAUGAUCAGCCCCCCUGGACCUGAGACCCGGCCCAGCCUCUUACGGGAGGACGCGGGGGGGAAUUUUGGACAAGGGGCGCAACCCUGACCCAGCCAUCCCGCGUGGGUGAAGAAGGCCUUCGGUUUGUAAAGCCCUUUUUUUGGGAAAAAAAAGCAGCAGGUUAAAACCCCGCUUUUCUGACGGUACCCAAAAAAUAAGCACCGGCCACCUUCGU
rnacentral:rRNA from 1 species